UAUAUUUACACCAAUUACACUGUAAAACAUAUUUAAUUUUUCUACUACGGUAUUCACACCUGCAAUAGAAAUGCAUCGGUUGCAUUCCCAGACGAAAUAUUGAAACCUGUCUUUGACAUUUCCGGAGCGUAUUAACCUUAUUUGGGGCCUGACUUAUUAAGGCCCACGCUGUAUUAUUCAGGCACUGUAUAUCCAGGACUAUCGUAUCAAAUGCGUGCUACAGCUUUUUAAAAUUCUCAGAGAUUGCAGGGUGUUUUUUUGGGGUCAAAUUUAGUUGUUAUUCCUAUUAGGUCCAAUGACAAGAUGAAACUUCUGUCGUAGAACCGCAGAAAUAUACAGCUGUAGAGAAGAAGAACAAAAAUCUCAAGAUGGAAAACGAAGAAAGAGAAACAAACACAUCAUAAAAAAAAGACUUGAGCAGCAUCAACAAUAAGAAGAACAUCAAAACAUCAUCACCAACAUCAUAAUCAUUAUCAUCAUCAACAGUAUGAAGGCAUAUAUAAAGCAAUUUAGUGCAAAGAUCAACCAGAAAGUUGACACAAGCUCAAGUGAUGUGAAAUGUAUAUAAACAAACGACAAUAUUACUCAUAGAAUGCAUUUGACUGCGGCCAUGCUGGAACACCACCUUCAUUCGAACAAAUCGAAACCAGGACUUAUUCUUUCAUGUACGGGAGUUAACAUGGACAUGCUCUUGUUUUGCUUGGUGCCAUUAACAGAAGUACAACCUCUCCGUGUACUGUUGAAUUGACAAAGAAGGAAUUUUUAGUGACUUUACAAAACUCUAUAUUUGAUUAACAGAAGUGUAUAUUUGUUAGUGUAAAAAGAUGAAUUUAUCAAAUUACAAAAUAAUUUUGACACAUCGAUCUUUACUCUUUCGCAUAUUCCAUUUAUUUUCUCUAUUUCCCUCAUUCUUGGUAUUCUUCAUCUCCUUUUUCAUUCAACCUCUCUCUGCCUGCGAUAAACAGUCAACGAAAUUUUCUGUAACUUUGUCUUACAAUAUUAAAGCAAAAAACUUCGAGGAAACUUCCUUGUUUGUUAUUUAUUUGAUCUUGAAAGCAGUACUGCUGUCCUCAAAAACUGCUAAGUUCUAUGUGGUUAGCGUUCCUAGAGAUAUUCUGAAAUUAGUGAUAUACAUAGUACAAACAGUAGAGUCAGAUAAGUUCAACGUGCUUCACCGAGGAGAUCGAAUAGGAGCGAAACAUGUUCAUAACUGCCACCUGUUGAUUUUCAAGGCAUGUACUGCACUAAUCUACAUCUUUAUUUUCCAAAAUCUCAAUGAGCUGAUAUUACAAGAGUUAGUUCCUUUUAUUUUGUGUCUUAGAUCUUAAACGCCCGUAUUGGGAAAUUUAUUUCUCCUAUUUUUUUAGAAAUCAGUUAAUAGAAGUUUUUGAACAAUGUUUAUUACAGACGUGUGUCUUCUACGGUAUAUGCAUUUCAUUUAAUAUGAAUUAAACUCACCUGAGAAUAUUUUCCCUCAAUUCUAAUGCUAUGCAGUGAGGUGGAAGAGAAAUAAAUUCUUGAAAGUCAUUUGAAUUUUCAUUUGCUCCUCUUACUCAUCCACACUUUCGACGAAAGAUUUUAUCCGAAACGUUACUAUUCUCUGCUUCCUCAAAAUAAGUAUGGUGAUAUGUCGUCUCGUUCCGUCCUUGCUACCUGUUUACUCAUUAACUAUUCCUAGCAAUAUGCUUUCAAGUCCAUGUUUCUAUGCCUUCCGUCAUAUCUUUCUCCUUUUUAUAACUUUCGUUAUUCCACACACUCUUCCUUAUUUAUCUAUAAAUUUUAACGUAUUAUUUUACGUGGUAGCAACAGUUGUUGUUGUGCUAGUGGUGGCGGCUGUGGUAGUAGUAGUAGUAGAAGUAGUA